AUUGAACGCUGGCGGCAUGCCUUACACAUGCAAGUCGAACGGCAGCACGGGUGCUUGCACCUGGUGGCGAGUGGCGAACGGGUGAGUAAUACAUCGGAACGUACCUUAUCGUGGGGGAUAACGCAGCGAAAGCUGUGCUAAUACCGCAUACGCCCUGAGGGGGAAAGCGGGGGAUCGCAAGACCUCGCGCGAUUAGAGCGGCCGAUGCCUGAUUAGCUUGUUGGUGGGGUAAAAGCCCACCAAGGCGACGAUCAGUAGCUGGUCUGAGAGGACGAUCAGCCACACUGGGACUGAGACACGGCCCAGACUCCUACGGGAGGCAGCAGUGGGGAAUUUUGGACAAUGGGGGCAACCCUGAUCCAGCAAUGCCGCGUGAGUGAAGAAGGCCUUCGGGUUGUAAAGCUCUUUUGUCAGGGAAGAAACACCGGCUCUAACACAGUCCGGGAAUGACGGUACCUGAAGAAUAAGCACCGGCUAACUACGUGCCAGCAGCCGCAGUAA
rnacentral:rRNA from 1 species